rnacentral:rRNA from 1 species
AGACCCGAAACCCGGUGAUCUAGCCAUGGGCAGGUUGAAGGUUGGGUAACACUAACUGGAGGACCGAACCGACUAAUGUUGAAAAAUUAGCGGAUGACCUGUGGCUGGGGGUGAAAGGCCAAUCAAACCGGGAGAUAGCUGGUUCUCCCCGAAAGCUAUUUAGGUAGCGCCUCGUGAAUUCAUCUCCGGGGGUAGAGCACUGUUUCGGCUAGGGGGCCAUCCCGGCUUACCAACCCGAUGCAAACUGCGAAUACCGGAGAAUGUUAUCACGGGAGACACACGGCGGGUGCUAACGUCCGUCGUGAAGAGGGAAACAACCCAGACCGCCAGCUAAGGUCCCAAAGUCAUGGUUAAGUGGGAAACGAUGUGGGAAGGCCCAGACAGCCAGGAUGUUGGCUUAGAAGCAGCCAUCAUUUAAAGAAAGCGUAAUAGCUCACUGGUCGAGUCGGCCUGCGCGGAAGAUGUAACGGGGCUAAACCAUGCACCGAAGCUGCGGCAGCGAACGUAUCACUUAAAGCGAUUCAGCGGGUUACGAUUGACGGAGCGAAGCGACGUCAAAGCGUAUACAAAGUCGAGUCGGUUUAAGGAUACGUUCGUUGGGUAGGGGAGCGUUCUGUAAGCCUGUGAAGGUGGCCUGUGAGGGUUGCUGGAGGUAUCAGAAGUGCGAAUGCUGACAUAAGUAACGAUAAAGCGGGUGAAAAGCC